rnacentral:rRNA from 1 species
GUCCACGCCGUAAACGAUGUCAACUAGCCGUUGGGAGCCUUGAGCUCUUAGUGGCGCAGCUAACGCAUUAAGUUGACCGCCUGGGGAGUACGGCCGCAAGGUUAAAACUCAAAUGAAUUGACGGGGGCCCCGCACAAGCGGUGGAGCAUGUGGUUUAAUUCGAAGCAACGCGAAGAACCUUACCAGGCCUUGACAUCCAAUGAACUUUCCAGAGAUGGAUUGGUGCCUUCGGGAACAUUGAGACAGGUGCUGCAUGGCUGUCGU